rnacentral:rRNA from 1 species
CAAGGCUUGACAUCCUUAGAAUCCUUAAGAGAUUAGGGAGUGCCCUUCGGGGAACUAAGAGACAGGUGGUGCAUGGUUGUCGUCAGCUCGUGUCGUGAGAUGUUGGGUUAAGUCCCGCAACGAGCGCAACCCCUAUAUUCAGUUGCCAGCAUGUAAAGAUGGGAACUCUGGAUAGACUGCCGGUGAUAAACCGGAGGAGGGUGGGGAUGACGUCAAAUCAUCAUGCCCCUUAUGUCUUGGGCUACACACGUGCUACAAUGGACGGUACAGACGGACGCGAAGCCGCGAGGUGAAGCAAAUCCGAGAAAGCCGUUCUCAGUUCGGAUUGUAGGCUGCAACUCGCCUACAUGAAGUCGGAAUCGCUAGUAAUCGCAGGUCAGCAUACUGCGGUGAAUACGUUCCC